CUCUCACCUAUGUGUAUAGGACCUCAAAAGAUCACCAUUAAAGUUGGCACGGAUUUCUAAAAAAGUUAUCACAUGAGUAUGAGACUUGACUUUUCUAUAGAUCCGUGCCAAAUUUAAUGGUGAUUUUUUAGGGUCCUAUACACAUGGGUGGGAG
rnacentral:pre_miRNA from 1 species